UGUUAAAGAGCACAAGGAAA
rnacentral:misc_RNA from 1 species